AAGAUGGCGACCGGCGCACGGGUGAGUAACACGUAUCCAACCUGCCGAUAACUCCGGGAUAGCCUUUCGAAAGAAAGAUUAAUACCGGAUGGCAUACGAAUAUCGCAUGAUAUUUUUAUUAAAGAAUUUCGGUUAUCGAUGGGGAUGCGUUCCAUUAGUUUGUUGGCGGGGUAACGGCCCACCAAGACUACGAUGGAUAGGGGUUCUGAGAGGAAGGUCCCCCACAUUGGAACUGAGACACGGUCCAA
rnacentral:rRNA from 1 species